rnacentral:rRNA from 1 species
GGAGUUAGCCGGUGCUUCUUCUGUGAGUGAUGUCCUUCCUGCCGGUUAUUGACCCGCAGGCCUUCUUCCUCACUGAAAGUGCUUUACAACCCGAAGGCCUUCUUCACACACGCGGCAUGGCUGGAUCAGGGUUGCCCCCAUUGUCCAAUAUUCCCCACUGCUGCCUCCCGUAGGAGUCUGGGCCGUGUCUCAGUCCCAGUGUGGCUGAUCAUCCUCUCAGACCAGCUACGGAUCGUCGCCUUGGUGAGCCGUUACCUCACCAACCAGCUAAUCCGACAUAGGCUCAUCCGAUAGCGCGAGGCCCGAAGGUCCCCCGCUUUCCCCCGUAGGGCGUAUGCGGUAUUAGCCUGGGUUUCCCCAGGUUAUCCCCCACUACCGGGCAGAUUCCUAUGCAUUACUCACCCGUCCGCCGCUCGCCACCAGGGAGCAAGCUCCCCGUGCUGCCGCUCGACUUGCAUGUGUUAGGCUCGCCGCCACGCGUUCAAUCUGAGCCAUAAUACAAACUACUCGA